rnacentral:tRNA from 1 species
GCCUGGGUGGCUCAGUCAGUUAAGCGGCUGACUUCGGCUCAGGUCAUGAUCUCGCGGUCCGUGGGUUCGAGCCCCGCAUCAGGCU